rnacentral:lncRNA from 1 species
UUAUAAUUUUAAAAUUUUAUCAUCUAAUGACUCAUAUUUUACUAGUGUUAGCAUUUAUUUUCUUUUACCGACUGUCUUUAGCGCAAGUGGCAAAAGGGCUUGAUGGUUGGUACCCGAGACCCAAGUUUGAAUCCUAAUUGAUUCACAUUUCCAGCUAAGUUUAUUUCUAAAUAAAAUAAUGAAGCGAGUAGCGUGCUACCUAUCUUUCAAAAAAAAAAAAAGCAUUUAUUUUCUUUUAUUA